GCCCUUACACAGAGGCGGUGCCAUGUCCAUUGAGGUAAAUCCGAGUCGUGGUUAUUGCUAGUUGAAAUACUAUAUAUAUAUACAUACAUACAUAUAUAUAUAUAUA
rnacentral:snRNA from 1 species